rnacentral:rRNA from 1 species
UACGAAGGGGACUAGCGUUGUUCGGAAUCACUGGGCGUAAAGCGCACGUAGGCGGAUUCGUAAGUCAGGGGUGAAAUCCCGGGGCUCAACCUCGGAACUGCCUUUGAUACUGCGGGUCUUGAGUCCGAUAGAGGUGGGUGGAAUUCCUAGUGUAGAGGUGAAAUCCGUAGAUAUUAGGAAGAACACCGGUGGCGAAGGCGGCCCACUGGAUCGGUACUGACGCUGAGGUGCGAAAGCGUGGGGAGCAAACAGG